rnacentral:rRNA from 1 species
GAUCAUGGCUCAGAUUGAACGCUGGCGGCAUGCCUUACACAUGCAAGUCGAACGGCAGGCCGGGGCCCUUUCGGGGUGCCGGGCGAGUGGCGAACGGGUGAGUAAUGCAUCGGAACGUGCCAUUGAGUGGGGGAUAACGUAGCGAAAGUUACGCUAAUACCGCAUAUUCUGUGAGCAGGAAAGCAGGGGACCGCAAGGCCUUGCGCUCUUUGAGCGGCCGAUGUCAGAUUAGCUAGUUGGUGAGGUAAAGGCUUACCAAGGCGACGAUCUGUAGCGGGUCUGAGAGGAUGAUCCGCCACACUGGAACUGAGACACGGUCCAGACUCCUACGGGAGGCAGCAGUGGGGAAUUUUGGACAAUGGGCGCAAGCCUGAUCCAGCCAUGCCGCGUGAGUGAAGAAGGCCUUCGGGUUGUAAAGCUCUUUCGGCCGGGAAGAAAUCGCAUGGGUUAAUACCCUGUGUGGAUGACGGUACCGGAAUAAGAAGCACCGGCUAACUACGUG